rnacentral:rRNA from 1 species
GCGAACCGUGCGAACGUUAUUCGGAAUCACUGGGCUUAAAGCGUGUGUAGGCGGGACGGCACGUCGGUCGCUGAAAUCCCCCGGCUCAACCGGGGAACGGGCGCCGAUACGACCGUCCUGGAGGGACGUAGGGGGACCUGGAACUUCCGGUGGAGCGGUGAAAUGCGUUGAGAUCGGAAGGAACGCCCGUGGCGAAAGCGAGGUCCUGGACGUUUUCUGACGCUGAGACGCGAAAGCCAGGGGAGCAAACGGGA